UGUCGGAAUAUUGGGCGUAAGCGCGCGCAGGCGGUUUCUUAAGUCUGAUGUGAAAGCCCACGGCUCAACCGUGGAGGGUCAUUGGAAACUGGGAGACUUGAGUGCAGAAGAGAAGAGCGGAAUUCCACGUGUAGCGGUGAAAUGCGUAGAGAUGUGGAGGAACACCAGUGGCGAAGGCGGCUCUUUGGUCUGUAACUGACGCUGAGGCGCGAAAGCGUGGGGAGCGAACAGGAUUAGAUACCCCA
rnacentral:rRNA from 1 species